rnacentral:tRNA from 1 species
GGGGGGAUAGCUCAAUUUGGUUAGAGCCCCCCGCUCAUAACGGGGUGGUUGGGGGUUCAAGUCCCUCUCCCCCUACCA